rnacentral:rRNA from 1 species
UACGAAGGGGGCUAGCGUUGCUCGGAGUCACUGGGCGUAAAGCGCACGUAGGCGGAUUGUUAAGUCAGGGGUGAAAUCCUGGAGCUCAACUCCAGAACUGCCUUUGAUACUGGCGAUCUCGAGUCCGGGAGAGGUGAGUGGAACUGCGAGUGUAGAGGUGAAAUUCGUAGAUAUUCGCAAGAACACCAGUGGCGAAGGCGGCUCACUGGCCCGGUACUGACGCUGAGGUGCGAAAGCGUGGGGAGCAAACAGG